rnacentral:rRNA from 1 species
ACGUCAGCGGCACGGCGACCGGGAUUUAGUGCAGGAUACAAUCCUGCCUGUCGUUUGCCUAAAAAGCAUUUCAUAGCAAGGCCGGGCAAGACCGGUGCCAGCCGCCGCGGUAACACCGGCGGCUCGAGUGGUAACCGUUAUUAUUGGGUCUAAAGGGUCUGGUAGCCGGCUGGAAUAAGUCUCUUGAGAAAUCCGGCAGCUCAACUGUCGGGCUUUCAGGAGAUACUGUCCGGCUCGAGACCGGGAGAGGUGAGAGGUACUUCAGGGGUAGGGGUGAAAUCUUGUAAUCCUUGAAGGACCACCAGUGGCGAAGGCGUCUCACCAGAACGGAUCUGACGGCAAGGGACGAAAGCUAGGGGCACGAACCGGAUUAGAUACCCGGGUAGUCCUAGCCGUAAACGAUACUCGCUAGGUGUCGGCCACGGUGCGACCGUGGUCGGUGCCGUAGGGAAGCCGUGAAGCGAGCCACCUGGGAAGUACGGCCGCAAGGCUGAAACUUAAAGGAAUUGGCGGGGGAGCACUACAACGGGUGGAGCUUGCGGUUUAAUUGGAUUCAACGCCGGAAAUCUCACCGGGACCGACAGCGAUAUGAAGGCCAGGCUGAAGACCUUGCCGGAUUAGCUGAGAGGUGGUGCAUGGCCGUCGUCAGUUCGUACUGUGAAGCAUCCUGUUAAGUCAGGCAACGAGCGAGACCCACGCCCACAGUUGCCAGCGUACUCUCCGGAGUGACGGGUACACUGUGGGGACCGCCGCUGCUAAAGCGGAGGAAGGAAUGGGCAACGGUGGGUCAGUAUGCCCCGAAUAUCCCGGGCUACACGCGAGCUACAAUGGUUGGUACAAUGGGUAUCUACCCCGAAAGGGGACGGAAAUCUCCUAACGCCAAUCUUAGUUCGGAUUGAGGCUAACACUCGCCGUCAUGAAGCUGAAU